UACGUAAGGACCGAGCGUUGUCCGGAAUCAUUGGGCGUAAAGGGUACGUAGGCGGUUAUAAAAGUUAGAAGUGAAAGGCUAGAGCUAAACUAUAGUAAGCUUUUAAAACUGUUUAACUUGAGAGAUGGAAGGGAAAGUGGAAUUCCUAGUGUAGCGGUGAAAUGCGCAGAUAUUAGGAGGAAUACCGGUGGCGAAGGCGACCGUCUGGCCAUAAACUGACGCUGAGGUACGAAAGCGUGGGGAGCAAACAGG
rnacentral:rRNA from 1 species